UGGUAUUUUUCGGAGUGGUCAAGUUCAUCUCACUACAGUGUACACAAGCAACUCCACAAGCAAAUUACUGAGUUAUUGUAGAGCAUUCUUCGUACGUAGCCUAGGUGUGAUCCUAAAGUCAAUAUGACCACCAGUCGACCUCUUUGAAGAUAGUAAUGUGGGCUGGACUACUCCCACUCCAAAGAUGACGACAACAGAAGCCCCCGCUCUCGCCUAGACUACGAAGGCUGAAAAGAAAAGACCACGAGUGAAGGACGAAGCAUCGAGAGGUCAGUGGCAGACCGAGAGGUCGUCGUGCAGCAUCUCUAGGGCCUGCUGGGCUGGGACUACAGAGAUGAGGAUUCAGAAGUUGAGGAGGAGCUGCAGCACAAGCUCUCUGUCAUGGGAUCGCACUCCAUGGGGGAGAAGUGUGGAUCCAGGCAUGGGACUGAUGCUGAGGGAGAUCCAGAACGGGACGAAAAGCCCAAACUGAAGCGUAAACUGGUCCAGUUGGAGGCCACAUCCCCUCACCUGGAGACCGGUUGCUUUCCUCCGCAGUCAAAACGCGCGACUACCAGAAGGUACCACGUCAAACAGUGCAACAAGCUGUGGAGCGUUGAACCCUCCUCUUUGUCCGCCCCAAGGAGACGCCCGGUGGUGGUGCUGAAGAUACUCUCUGAGCAAGAAAUACGCACUGCCCUUUGUCCCGUUGUGACGAUGUCGACAACGACGAUGAUCAUGUACAUGUUGUCGGUGACGUCUACCUGGAUAACGAUGGCGAUGAUGUCAUCGACAGACAGGGGCUUGGCAACUGGCUGGGGUUCUUCGACCGAGGAUUCCUGGAAAGGGAAGGCCAGCGCCUGUGCUAGGGACACUGGAUCCCUUUUGAGGAUAAGUGCAAAAGACAACAAGGCAAAGAUUAAAUCAAAAUCUGUCACAGUGGAAAGGCAAAAUGGAGAACAAUCAGAUGCUCCUCACAAUGGCAAGGCCACUGUACACCAUGGUAAAAAUAUUCAAAAGCCACUCACGCACAUGUACUGUCAACAAAGAAAAGAAGCAGUCCACGACUGCCACGAUGCUCCGACAUCAGCCGAGCCUCAGAGCUGUGAAAUCGCUGUCUCCUCCGUCUCCAAGCCCUGCACUCCCAUCGCCUCCCCAAUGUCCCUAGCCCAUGAUUUUGAUGAAGUGAUUUUCUUUUUUUCCAUCUUAGUGUGGACCGUGUGGGGUGGAGGGCUUCAAGAACAAGGUGAGCCUUGAGAACAGGGGGCGCGUCCUGGUGUCUGGACACCACCUUGCCUGUGAGGACACUGCUCCGCUGUGCAGUCUCCAUGUGCGGGUCCGGGUGGUGACUAGCUAGCGGAAAGACAACAAACCUUUCUUCUACUCUGGCAUCCUGGGAGAGCUUCCCUCCAGAAGGAACCGCAUGAGGUUCCUGGUCUUUUUCGACAAUCACACUCCUAACUAUGUUCGACUACCUUCUCUGCACCUGGUGUGCAGGCCAUUGGUGGAACCCUGGGGCGGACAUCCCAGGAGACGCCCACCGGAGAUUCAUCAGGGAGUACCUGAAGGUGUGGCCGCACCCUCCUAUGGCCAACUACUGAGUGGAUGAGCAGCUCAACGUGGAGUGCAGAGAGCCUGCGAGGUGCUCCGUGCAGACUGCAGCCUGAUGCAUGUCCUCUUCAAGCAUAGCGGACUCAAGGAGGGGAUUUAUCGAGGUUCCAUGCGUCUGGAGCACUCGGUCAACACGAAUAAGGUUCUGAAGAACACGGACAGGGCGGGAGAGACGAAGGCGGCUGAACCCAGCAGCGUAUCCCACGAAAAUCCGCAGGAAGCAUGUCCCGGGUCUCGCUCCACUCCGACCACUCCACCCACUCCACCGGCCGCCAUGGGUGAACUACACUCCGCACCUCUGCAGCCCCGCCUGCCUGGAACUAGUCUGGCGCGACAGGCCUCUGGAAGCGUUGCGUAAGCGCAACCCGCUGCUCGCCCCCAUGAUGUACAAGUUCAGACGGACCAAGAGGCAGCUCACCCCUGACACCAUGGCCUCGGUAUUGAGUCUGGACGGCUCGUUAACAGGGUGUCCCCGUGGAGACGAAGCCCACCUACAGCGUAUACUGCUACGCCCCCUGCGGCCUGCCCCUGACCGCCAUCGCCCAGGUGGAGCAGUACCUGCAUGACACGCGCUGCGACUUCCUGUCCAUUGACGCUUUCAACCUGGACCCGCACCUGUCUGUCACCGGUGCCAAACCCCUCCCCUUCAAGGUGUUCCUUCCCGACCUGUCCGGUGGCAGGGAGAACAAGGCGUUGCCCUGCAUCAACGAGCACAACGGCCAGCUUCCCCCCCAAGAUGAGCUACCGGAGCGGCCGCGACACCAGCCACGUCCGUCUCGACCCCGGCCCCGGCGUUGUGACGGGCUAAGUCGACGGUUGUAGGGACAGAGAGUCCUGCUCCUGUCGCCAGCUGACUAUCCAGAGCACCGGUGGGAGAGCCAUGGAGGAGAACUCCAGCUACGCUCAAAAGAGACUCAACAAUGCAGUUGUUACUGGCGUGUAUGAGUGCAACGCCCAGUGUCUCUGUGACCCCCCGCACAUGCUCGAACCGGGUGGCACAGCAAGGCGUCCAGGUGAGGCUCCAGGUCUUCAUGACCCAGGACCGAGGCUGGGGCGUCUGCUGCCUGGAUGACAUAUCCGGGGAGACCUUUGUGUGUUCCUACAGCGCCUCUAAAACGACUAAAGCCAAGGACCCUUCAAAGAGAAAGAAACCUGCAUCUUCCAUGGUUCCCAUGACUACAUCCAGAUGUUUCUUUGAUGGCGAGGAACACGGCUGCAUCCUUGAUGAUAAUAUGGAGAGAAAUGUUGCCCGCUACCUCAAUGAUAGCUGCAACCCAAACUUGUUUAAACAAUAAGUUUUUAUGGACACACACGACCUCAGGUUUCCCUGGUUAACCUUUUUACUAGCAAGCGGGUCAAAGCUGUCACAGAGUUGACCUGGGACUACAGAUCUGUCCAAAAAGAGGAUGCUGAAACUCUUCUUGGUCAGCCGUGCUCCUGUGGGUCUAAAAACUGUUCUGGCCAACUAUAAUGCUUAGAGACUUGAUUCGAAAUUUAUAUAAAUGUGUUGAUUUGCAAUGGUGUGAAGUUUUUUACAUUUAAAUAAAUAUCCCUCAAC
ensembl:lncRNA